rnacentral:lncRNA from 1 species
CGACAGUGUACAGUUCCGGUCCUGCAGGAUGGAUGGGUCUAGCAAUAUACAACUGCAGUCCGGUGUUUCUUUUUAUUGGGAUAAACAAAAAUGAACUUUUUGUAUUAGGGUAUUUGUUAUAAAACUUAAUUUUGGAAAAAAAUAUGCUAAAAAAAUUUAGGGUGGGGUACAAUGUUUAGAAACUCUUUUGUUGAGGUUUCAUGCAAUUUUUUCAUAUUUCAAAUCCUCAUUUGAAAACAUGCAAAAGGUGAGGUGGCGGUUUAUGGGAGUGUUGAUCUGUGAUGACGGCUGAUAGGAUGGGCGGUGAUGAUGGUCUUCAAGAUGGUGAGAAGGGGGAUUAUAUGAUAGAAGGUUUUGGGGUGAACAGGGACAUCUAGUUGCAGAGAGCGAUACGAGCAAAUUCUUAUCUCAUCGGAAGGCCGUUUUUGCCUUUAAGCCAAAGCCUCUUAAAGCUUCGGUUCGAAGUGAUUGGCCACAAGACCGGG